rnacentral:rRNA from 1 species
AACGAACGCUGGCGGCAUGCCUAACACAUGCAAGUCGAACGAGACCUUCGGGUCUAGUGGCGCACGGGUGCGUAACGCGUGGGAACCUGCCUUUAGGUUCGGAAUCACUCAGAGAAAUUUGAGCUAAUAAAGGUUGAUGUCUUCGGACCAAAGAUUUUUCGCCUUUAGAUGGGCCCGCGUUGGUUUAGCUGGUUGGUGGGGUAAAGGCCUACCAAGGCGACGAUCCAUAGCUGGUCUGAGAGGAUGAUCAGCCACACUGGGACUGAGACACGGCCCAGACUCCUACGGGAGGCAGCAGUGGGGAAUAUUGGACAAUGGGCGAAAGCCUGAUCCAGCAAUGCCGCGUGAGUGAUGAAGGCCGUAGGGUUGUAAAGCUCUUUUACCCGAGAUGAUAAUGACAGUAUCGGGAGAAUAAGCACCGGCUAACUCCGUG